AGCAGCUAUUGAAUUGGGUAAAUCCGUGAAUGUCACUAUGAAUUUAGUAAAUGGGGUGAGAGCUUUAUAAACUAAUGGCUAAAAGUUGCCCAAGAUAAUAACCACAUUGUAUGCCGGCCAGAUGUUGUAGGAUAAGAUUGAGUACUAGGCUGCUACAUGGAUCAUGAUCAAGUAGAAUGUGAUCUUUAAUUGGGAGGAGAGGAUUUAAGAUUUUCUGCAUAAAGAAUGUUAUUUUGUUAUUGAAAGGGAUUAUUAUCUCAUAUGCUACCUUACUAGAGAGCUAUUACCUUCUGUUAUUUCUCAUAGUAGGGUCCUGUAGCGGAAUAAUUUUAGGGACUUCAACCUUUCAACAUUUUUAUGAGAAAUAGUAGCAGCAUUUAGGACUCUACUGGUGAUUUCUGGUUGCAACGCCUAGAUUCUUGCUGUUUUAUCAAACAGUGACCCUCUGGAGAACGAGGACUGAAAUUUUUUAUCCUAUUGAGCUUAUCUUCAAUUCUUGGGUUCAAUUUGCAAUGUCAUUUCCCUUAGUGACUGAAACUAUUGGGGUUGGGACAUGAUAGCCAUCUCAUUUCUGGUAAAAGGUUUCAUGUUUCAAAUUAUUUGGUGCUGACUGAAUUCUGAUUUUAAAGUGUUGGUAGUUUAGGUGCAAAUACAUAUGCCGAUUAAACAAAUUGGUAAAUGAUGCAAUUACAUCAGUGAAAUGUGAUGCUAUUGUAAGAUUGAACCGAAAGAAACCUCAUUUGCAUUUUUUUUUUCUUUUUUAAUGAAAUUACUCCAUUAUAUAAUGUAAUUCAACAUGAUAGAAUGAACAACUUAUUGUUGAUUAUUGUUUUUUUGUAACAUUUGAGUUUACCAAAUUAUGUUCUUCCCAGACUUUUAUCCAUAGAUGAAUUAUUAAUAAAAUCAAUCUACUUUGAUCCUCUACUAAGUUGAAUUGGGUUGUAUGUAUAAUAUGGAUUCUAUUUGUAGAUGUGGCAGCCCUCCAUCGGGAAAUGAAAUCGUAAGAAAGUCCGAUCCUUGGCCAGCCUGUUGUGUCACCGGCACGAGUUGCUAUAGAGCAUGGAGAUGUGAGCUCCGGCAUAUCCAAUCUGCGGACUAAAAACCCGAAUAAAUUUAAAAUGUAUUAUAUAUUAUAUGAUGAACUCAUAU
rnacentral:misc_RNA from 1 species